UCCCUGGUGGCUCAGCGGUAAAGAAUCUGCCUAUAAUUCAGGAGACCCGGGUUCGAUCCCUGGCUCAGGAA
rnacentral:tRNA from 1 species